rnacentral:rRNA from 1 species
GCGGAAAGGCCCUUUCGGGGGUACUCGAGCGGCGAACGGGUGAGUAACACGUGAGUAAUCUGCCUCUGGCUUCGGGAUAGCCACCGGAAACGGUGAUUAAUACCGGAUACGACACAUCACUGCAUGGUGCGUGUGUGGAAGGUUUUUUCGGCCAGGGAUGUGCUCGCGGCCUAUCAGCUUGUUGGUGGGGUAAUGGCCUACCAAGGCUUCGACGGGUAGCCGGCCUGAGAGGGUGACCGGCCACACUGGGACUGAGACACGCGCCAGACUCCUACGGGAGGCAGCAGUCGGGAAUAUUGGACAAUGGGCGGAAGCCUGAUCCAGCCACGCCGCGUGAGGGAUGACGGCCUUCGGGUUGUAAACCUCUUUCAGCACAGACGAAGCGCAAGUCACGGUAUGUGCAGAAGAAGGACCGGGCAACUACGUGCCAGCAGCCGCGGUAAUACGUAGGGUCCGAGCGUUGUCCGGAAUUAUUGGGCGUAAAGGGCUCGUAGGCGGUUUGUCGCGUCGGGAGUGAAAACACCGGGCUUAACUCGGUGCUUGCUUUCGAUACGGGCAGACUAGGGGCAUUCAGGGGAGAACGGAAUUCCUGGUGUAGCGGUGAAAUGCGCAGAUAUCAGGAGGAACACCGGUGGCGAAGGCGGUUCUCUGGGAAUGUCCUGACGCUGAGGAGCGAAAGUGUGGGGAGCGAACAGGAUUAGAUACCCUGGUAGUCCACACCGUAAACGUUGGGCGCUAGGUGUGGGAUCCAUUCCACGGGUU